GACCUUUUGAACCAGGAUUGCAGCCGCAGAUUUUUGGGUCUCUUGGUUGGGAUGUCCAGUCCCCCAAAAGAAUUUGUAGGUAAGAAAAAAGAAGUUCUGCAUCGGCACAAAUUCACCAGUAGAAGCGACCAGUCCCAACAGAC